rnacentral:rRNA from 1 species
CCUACGGGUGGCAGCAGUAGGGAAUAUUGGACAAUGAGGGAAACCCUGAUCCAGCGACGCCGCGUGAGUGAAGAAGUAUUUCGGUACGUAAAGCUCUAUCAGCAGGGAAGAAAAUGACGGUACCUGACUGAUAGGCCCCGGCUAACUACUUGCCAGCAGCCGCUGGAAUACUUUGGGGGCAAGCGUUAGCCGGCUUUACUGGGUGUAAAGGGAGCGGAGACGGCAGCGCAAGUAUGGAGUGAAAUGCCGGGGCCCAACCCCGGAAUCGCUCUGGAGACUGUGAAGCUGGAGUGCAGGAGAGGUAAGCGGAAUUCCUUGUGUAGCGGUGAAAUGCGUAGAUAUCAGGAGGAACACCGGAGGCGAAGGCGGCUUACUGGACUGUAACUGACGUUGAGGCUCGAAGGCGUGGGGAGCAAACAGGAUUAGAUACCCCAGUAGUC